GACGAACGCUGGCGGCGUGCUUAACACAUGCAAGUCGAACGGAAAGGCCCUGCUUUUGUGGGGUGCUCGAGUGGCGAACGGGUGAGUAACACGUGAGUAACCUGCCCUUGACUUUGGGAUAACUUCAGGAAACUGGGGCUAAUACCGGAUAGGAGCUCCUGCUGCAUGGUGGGGGUUGGAAAGUUUCGGCGGUUGGGGCUGGACUCGCGGCUUAUCAGCUGGUUGGUGGGGUAGUGGCUUACCAAGGCUUUGACGGGUAGCCGGCCUGAGAGGGUGACCGGCCACAUUGGGACUGAGAUACGGCCCAGACUCCUACGGGAGGCAGAAGUGGGGAAUAUUGCACAAUGGGCGGAAGCCUGAUGCAGCAACGCCGCGUGCGGGAUGACGGCCUUCGGGUUGUAAACCGCUUUCGCCUGUGACGAAGCGUGAGUGACGGUAAUGGGUAAAGAAGCACCGGCUAACUACGUG
rnacentral:rRNA from 1 species